rnacentral:tRNA from 1 species
GCCUGGGUGGCUCAGUCAGUUGAGCGUCUGACUUCAGCUCACGAUCUCAUGGUUUGUGGGUUCGAGCCCCAUGUCGGGCU